rnacentral:rRNA from 1 species
AGAGUUUGAUCCUGGCUCAGGAUGAACGCUAGCUACAGGCUUAACACAUGCAAGUCGCGGGGCAGCAUGAAGUCAGCUUGCUGACUUUGAUGGCGACCGGCGCACGGGUGAGUAACGCGUAUCCAACCUGCCUGUUACCACGGCACAGCCCGUCGAAAGGCGGAUUAAUGCCGUAUGUGGUCCUUUGCGGGCAUCUAAUUAGGACUAAAGGUUCAGCGGUAACAGAUGGGGAUGCGUCCGAUUAGCUAGACGGCGGGGUAACGGCCCACCGUGGCUACGAUCGGUAGGGGUUCUGAGAGGAAGGUCCCCCACACUGGAACUGAGACACGGUCCAGACUCCUACGGGAGGCAGCAGUGAGGAAUAUUGGUCAAUGGGCGCAAGCCUGAACCAGCCAAGUAGCGUGAGGGAAGACUGCCCUAUGGGUUGUAAACCUCUUUUGUGCGGGGAUAAAGUGUGGGACGUGUCCCAUAUUGCAGGUACCGCACGAAUAAGGACCGGCUAAUUCCGUGCCAGCAGCCGCGGUAAUACGGAAGGUCCGGGCGUUAUCCGGAUUUAUUGGGUUUAAAGGGAGCGCAGGCCGUCCUUUAAGCGUGCUGUGAAAUGCCGCGGCUCAACCGUGGCACUGCAGCGCGAACUGGAGGACUUGAGUACGCACGAGGUAGGCGGAAUUCGUGGUGUAGCGGUGAAAUGCUUAGAUAUCACGAAGAACUCCGAUUGCGAAGGCAGCUUACCGGAGCGCAACUGACGCUGAGGCUCGAAAGCGCGGGUAUCGAACAGGAUUAGAUACCCUGGUAGUCCGCGCGGUAAACGAUGGAUGCCCGCCGUUGGGAUUUAGAUUUCAGCGGCCAAGCGAAAGCGUUAAGCAUCCCACCUGGGGAGUACGCCGGCAACGGUGAAACUCAAAGGAAUUGACGGGGGCCCGCACAAGCGGAGGAACAUGUG